rnacentral:rRNA from 1 species
GACGAACGCUGGCGGCGUGCCUAAUACAUGCAAGUAGAACGCAGUUGCGAACGGGUGAGUAACGCGUAGGUAACUGCCUCAUAGCGGGGUAUAACUAUUGGAAACGAUAGCUAAUACCGCAUACUGUGAGAUGGACCUGCGUUGUAUUAGCUAGUUGGGGAGGUAAAGGCUCACCAAGGCGACGAUACAUAGCAGACCUGAGAGGGGGAUCGGACACACUGGGACUGAGACACGGCCUAGAACCCUACGGGAUGCAGCAGUAGGGAAUCCUCGGCUACGGACGGAAGUCUGAUCGAGCCACGCCGCGUGAGUGCACAAUGUCUUCGUGGCGUAAAGCUCUGUUAUCAGAGAACCGGUAACUAUCCAGAAAGGGAAGGCUAAAUCCGUGCCAGCCGCCGCGGUAAUUC